GACGAACGCUGGCGGCGUGCUUAACACAUGCAAGUCGAACGAAGUGGCGAACGGGUGAGUAACGCGUAAUCAACCUGCCCUUCAGAGGGGGACAACAGUUGGAAACGACUGCUAAUACCGCAUACUGUAGGAGGGGAUUGCGUCUGAUUAGCUAGUUGGAGGGGUAACGGCCCACCAAGGGGAUGAUCAGUCGCCGGUCGGAUGGGACAAACGGACACAGUGGGAAUGAGAGACGGCACAGAGUCCGACGGGAGGCCGCAGUGGGGAAUCUUCCGCAAUGGACGAAAGGCUGACGGAGCAACGCAGCGUGAGUGAUGACGGCCUUCGGGUUGUAAAGCGCUGUUAAUCGGGAUGCGGUACCGGAAUAGAAAGCCACGGCUAACUACGUGCCAGCAGCCGCGGUAAUUC
rnacentral:rRNA from 1 species